rnacentral:rRNA from 1 species
ACAGCCCAUCGCAUAAUCUCCCGGGCUACCCAGCCUGCGGCGAAAUGUUGCGUAAAGGGAAAGGUCGUUUCUAAGCCCUGCACAACGUGUACCUAAGUCUGGCUUGAUUGUGUCGCUGAUCUUUAACGGGAUCUACGGUACCAUAGAGGGUGACAGUCCCGUAUGGCCACGAGUUACAUGUGCAUGGGUUCGGCCUCAUUCCCUGAGAGUCGCGUUGCUUGAGCAUGCAGCGCUAAGCAGGACGUAAACUCGUCCUAAGGCUAAAUACAUCCACAAAACCGAUGUGAACAAGUACCGUGAGGGAAAGUUGAAAAGCACUCUGAAGAGAGAGUCAAAAGACCGUGAAACCGCUCAGAGUAUAAGCCAAUGGUUUUCGGAAAGCUGGGUCCGCACAAUCUCAGAGGUUGUGUAUCGUGUGUGUUGAAACUAUGUCGGUGUGGUAAGUGGCGGUCAUUGAGUUGAUAGCGCGUCGUAUGAGAACUCACGGGUCUCUGACAGUGGUAACAGGGGGGGCUUCUUGAGGGGCCGCCCCGAGGCUGGGCUUGAGUGAGCGGGCAUAGAUAUUGCACACUAAACGAGUGGACGUCAUACAGCUCACCACAAUUCUWUGAGGGGUCUCCCAUGCGAGGUGUGACUGUGUGGGCCGUGGUGAUCUGUGAACCGCUGUGCGCCAGUGUUCAGGGCGGCCGGUUCCGAUCACUUCCAGACGUGUGGCAGGUACGAUCCCUUCGAAGGUUGCAUUCUGACCAUCGUGAAGCCUGAAACACGCUGCGAGGGAGUUGCGGGUCCUAUGAAGCCUCAGUGAGGUGGGUGCUGUUCGCCCGACUGGUGGCUGAUGAUUGGUGACUAAUUCCGGGGCCAUUGGUCACGUCUCGAAACACGGGCCAAGGAGCAUAGCAUGUGCGCAAGUCGAAGGGUCCCACAAAACCCGGAGGCGAAGUGAAAGCAAGUUGGUGUGUUUGUUCGAGCUGCCUCAGUGGCGAGGGCAAGCAGCCCGGUGGUUAUUGUAAUUCUCAUCCGGAUGUAUGCAUUCCCGGCUUAUACCGAGCUGAUCCACCGUUAGCAAGCGUCCUCGCGCAACGGUGGCGCAAGCUCCAGGCUCUCCACAUCGCUUCUGAAGUGAGUGGGAGCACUGUGGAGCGUGCAUGCUAUGACCCGAAAGAUAGUGAACUAUGCCUGGCGA